GACGAACGCUGGCGGCGUGCCUAAUACAUGCAAGUCGAGCGGAUGAGAAAGGAGCUUGCUCCUUUCGAUUCAGCGGCGGACGGGUGAGUAACACGUGGGCAACCUGCCUGUAAGACUGGGAUAACUCCGGGAAACCGGGGCUAAUACUGGAUAACUCAUGAGACUGCAUAGUCUGAUGAUAAAAGAUGGUUUUGCUAUCACUUACAGAUGGGCCCGCGGCGCAUUAGCUAGUUGGUGAGGUAACGGCUCACCAAGGCGACGAUGCGUAGCCGACCUGAGAGGGUGAUCGGCCACACUGGGACUGAGACACGGCCCAGACUCCUACGGGAGGCAGCAGUAGGGAAUCUUCCGCAAUGGACGAAAGUCUGACGGAGCAACGCCGCGUGAGCGAUGAAGCCUUCGGGUCGUAAAGCUCUGUUGUUAGGGAAGAACAAGUAUGAGUUAACUGCUCAUACCGUGACGGUACCUAACGAGAAAGCCACGGCUAACUACGUGCCAGCAGCCGCGGUAAUACGUAAGUGGCAAGCGUUGUCCGGAUUUAUUGGGCGUAAAGCGCGCGCAGCGGUUUCUUAAGUCUGAUGUGAAAGCCCCGCUCACCGGGGA
rnacentral:rRNA from 1 species